rnacentral:misc_RNA from 1 species
AAGUCGUAACAAGGUUUCCGUAGGUGAACCUGCGGAAGGAUCAUUAACAUUGGUUUGAUUUGUGGUGGUGUGUUUGCUCUUCUUCUUUUUAGGAGAGAGUAACUCAUCAUCUCAACCCCAUUGUGUGCAUGUUUUGUGUGCGAGUAGUAAAGGGAGGUCUUGUACCUCACUUUCUCUCACUCACUCACUUCUUUCACUUUCACACCCAAACCCCUUCUUCUCAUCACACUAGACUGACUUUACACCUCGUUUUACUCAGGCUCAACUGAGCAAAACAUCAAUCAGCAUACAACUCUUAGCGACGGAUAUCUAGGCUCUC